rnacentral:rRNA from 1 species
CAGUCGCCGCGGUAAUACAGAGGGUGCGAGCGUUAAUCGGAUUUACUGGGCGUAAAGCGUGCGUAGGUGGUGGUUUAAGUCCGUUGUGAAAGCCCUGGGCUCAACCUGGGAAUUGCAGUGGAUACUGGGUCACUAGAGUGUGGUAGAGGAUAGUGGAAUUUCCGGUGUAGCAGUGAAAUGCGUAGAGAUCGGAAGGAACAUCUGUGGCGAAGGCGACUAUCUGGGCCAACACUGACACUGAGGCACGAAAGCGUGGGGAGCAAACAGGAUUAGAUACCCCAGUAGUCCCUGUCUCUUAUAC